GGGAAACUGCCCGAUGGAGGGGGAUAACUACUGGAGACGGUAGCUAAUACCGCAUAACGUCUUCGGACCAAAGUGGGGGACCUUCGGGCCUCACACCAUCGGAUGUGCCCAGAUGGGAUUAGCUAGUAGGUGGGGUAACGGCUCACCUAGGCGACGAUCCCUAGCUGGUCUGAGAGGAUGACCAGCCACACUGGAACUGAGACACGGUCCAGACUCCUACGGGAGGCAGCAGUGGGGAAUAUUGCACAAUGGGCGCAAGCCUGAUGCAGCCAUGCCGCGUGUAUGAAGAAGGCCUUCGGGUUGUAAAGUACUUUCAGUGGGGAGGAAGGCGAAGAGGUUAAUAACCUUUUCGAUUGACGUUACCCGCAGAAGAAGCACCGGCUAACUCCGUGCCAGCAGCCGCGGUAAUACGGAGGGUGCAAGCGUUAAUCGGAAUUACUGGGCGUAAAGCGCACGCAGGCGGUCUGUCAAGUCGGAUGUGAAAUCCCCGGGCUCAACCUGGGAACUGCAUUCGAAACUGGCAGGCUAGAGUCUUGUAGAGGGGGGUAGAAUUCCAGGU
rnacentral:rRNA from 1 species